rnacentral:lncRNA from 1 species
CAAGGGCUGUGAGAUUCCAGAUGCUACCUGGCAGUGCCAUCGAAGUCCCCAGAUCUUCUGGACUGGCAGAAGGAGGGAUGAGAUUGAUAACCCGGGAUAAUAGCUCGGGCUGGCGGAAAGCUGAAGGGAACUCUUUCCAUCAAAAGGUGUCCUCCAGCUGGACACAUCCCAGGCCACGGCAGGGCCUAGUGCGGUCCUUUGUUUCAGAGAGAACUGUGAUCUCAGUAAGGCCUGAAGCUCUCAGUGCCGGUGGAAACCUCCUUCCAGGGAGGGGGAAGGGCUCCAUGGCUGGCCACGAGUCAGCGGAUGCUAAACCUGGUCGCUCAGUGGAGAGGUGGCAAGUCUGGAGUCUGAUUUGCUUUUGUGUCCUGGUUUUGCUGCCUGUAUCUUAUAAGAUCUUGGGUGGCAGUGGUCCUCGGUUCAGUCGAAAGCACGUACAUGAGGUUUUAUAGUUUUAGUUUCCUUGUCCAUCAUGCACCUUCCUGUCAGCUGGCAGAAUGGACUGAAGCCCACCCUGACCAGCAGAGAGACUUUCUCCCUGCCUGAAGUCAGACUGCAGCUCCUGGCUCGGAAUGGACAAAUGAGAAGAUGAAUGCAGGACCUGUGGUUGAUACAGUUCAUCCAGUGCCCCUCAAGCAUCGACUGGUACUAAAAGCUGAUGUUACCCAUGCACGGCCUUGAUCCCAGCCUUCUCUCCUCACCCAGGGGAGGCCAGUG